GGGGCUGACUUGGAUUUCGACAGAUUUCUUGUCGCACAGAUAGCAUGCCAAGCGCUGCUUGUAAAACAGCAACAAAAAUAACUGUAAACAACGCAGAUUACGCUCCAGCUUACGCUAAAGCUGCGUGAGUUAAUCUCCUUUUGGAGCUGGACUGAUUAGAAUUUCUAGCGUUUUAAUCACUCCAUAACCUUAAGCUAGACGCUUUUAAAAGGUGGUUCGCCUUUUAAACUAAGAACAAGAACUCUUGAAACUACCUCAAGGUUUUAGAAAGUUGGACCAGAGCUAGUUUUAAGGCUAAAAACUAACCAAUUUUCUAAGCAUUGUAGAAGUUUGUGUUUAGGACAAGAUUUUUGGACUGGGGUUCGAUUCCCCACAGCUCCACCA
rnacentral:tmRNA from 1 species